rnacentral:piRNA from 2 species
UGACCUGGGCCAGUUCAGCCAUCCUUAGGCAA